rnacentral:rRNA from 1 species
GGUUGAUCCUGCCAGCGGUGAUAUGCUUAGAUAAAAGAUUAAGCCAUGCAUGUCUAUGAUCAUACCGGCUAAUGGUGAAUCUGCGAAUGGCUCAUUAAAACAGCUAUAAUCUACUCGAUCUUGUUUCCUAAACGGAUAACUGCGCUAAUUUUGGAGCUAAUACGUGCAUCAAAGCCCUGACGAAAGGAGGGGCGCACUUAUUAGACUAAGACCGAUCGGGUUCGUCCCGUCUUGGUGACUCUGAAUAAUUUAGCGGAUCGCAUGGUCUUGUACCGGCGACGUAUCGUUCGAG